GUUAAAUACACAGAGCUAACUUAAUUCUGUUUUACUGUUACAGUAAAUAAUAAUUAAAGACACUGAUUCUGGUGUGCCUGGUAUGUGGCCUAUGGGGAUGAUAAGGUCUGGUAUUGGAGAUUGGUACUUGAAAGUCAAUGGUUGAUCAUGAUGACCAUCUUUAAUUUAAUGGGGAAAGAUUAACCAAUAUUUGCAGCUGGAGAGGCUAUCACCACAGUUCAAUGAUUUAGGUAAG
rnacentral:lncRNA from 1 species